rnacentral:rRNA from 1 species
AGAGUUUGAUCCUGGCUCAGGACGAACGCUGGCGGCGUGCCUAAUACAUGCAAGUAGAACGCACAGUUUAUACCGUAGCUUGCUACACCAUAGACUGUGAGUUGCGAACGGGUGAGUAACGCGUAGGUAACCUGCCUAUUAGAGGGGGAUAACUAUUGGAAACGAUAGCUAAUACCGCAUAACAGUAUGUAACACAUGUUAGAUGCUUGAAAGAUGCAAUUGCAUCGCUAGUAGAUGGACCUGCGUUGUAUUAGCUAGUAGGUAGGGUAAAGGCCUACCUAGGCAACGAUACAUAGCCGACCUGAGAGGGUGAUCGGCCACACUGGGACUGAGACACGGCCCAGACUCCUACGGGAGGCAGCAGUAGGGAAUCUUCGGCAAUGGGGGGAACCCUGACCGAGCAACGCCGCGUGAGUGAAGAAGGUUUUCGGAUCGUAAAGCUCUGUUGUUAAGGAAGAACGAGUGUGAGAAUGGAAAGUUCAUACUGUGACGGUACUUAACCAGAAAGGGACGGCUAACUACGUGCCAGCAGCCGCGGUAAUACGUAGGUCCCGAGCGUUGUCCGGAUUUAUUGGGCGUAAAGCGAGCGCAGGCGGUUAGAAAAGUCUGAAGUGAAAGGCAGUGGCUCAACCAUUGUAGGCUUUGGAAACUGUUUAACUUGAGUGCAGAAGGGGAGAGUGGAAUUCCAUGUGUAGCGGUGAAAUGCGUAGAUAUAUGGAGGAACACCGGUGGCGAAAGCGGCUCUCUGGUCUGUAACUGACGCUGAGGCUCGAAAGCGUGGGGAGCGAACAGGAUUAGAUACCCUGGUAGUCCACGCCGUAAACG